UUGCAGUGAUGUUUGAAUUUCUUCACCUGACUCCCCCGUGGAGAGCAAAACUAAACGAGCUUUUUAACACUGAGCGAU
ensembl:snoRNA SNORD36 Small nucleolar RNA SNORD36